UACGUAGGGGUCGAGCGUUGUCCGGAGUUACUGGGCGUAAAGCGCGCGCAGGCGGCGCGAUAAGACCGGCGUGAAAGCCCCCGGCUCAACCGGGGGAGGGUCGUUGGUGACUGUCGCGCUUGAAGGCAGCAGGGGUGAGUGGAAUUCCCGGUGUAGUGGUGAAAUGCGCAGAUAUCAGGAGGAACACCGGUGGCGAAGGCGGGUCUCUGGGCAGUAACUGACGCUGAGGAGCGAAAGCGUGGGGAGCGAACAGG
rnacentral:rRNA from 1 species